rnacentral:rRNA from 1 species
GUGUUGUAAGUGUCUAAGGGCGCACGGUGGAUGCCUUGGCGCAAGGAGCCGAUGAAGGACGUGGGAGGCUGCGAUAUGCCUCGGGGAGCUGUCAACCGAGCUGUGAUCCGAGGAUUUCCGAAUGGGGAAACCCAGCACCAGUCAUGUGGUGUUACCCGCCGUUGAAUAUAUAGACGGUGUGGAGGGAACGAGGGGAAGUGAAACAUCUCAGUACCCUCAGGAAGAGAAAACAAUAGUGAUUCCGUGAGUAGUGGCGAGCGAAAGCGGAUGAGGCUAAACCAUGCACAUGUGAUACCGGGUAGGGGUUGUGUGUGUGGUGUUGUGGGGUUCAUCUUUCCAGCUCUACCUGGCUGGACAGCAGUGA